GAUGAACGCUAGCGGCAGGCUUAACACAUGCAAGUCGAGGGGUAUGCCGAUUUAUCGGCAGAGACCGGCGCACGGGUGCGUAACGCGUAUGCAAUCUACCUUUCACAGAGGGAUAGCCCAGAGAAAUUUGGAUUAAUACCUCAUAGUAUAGCAGUUUCGCAUGAAACCACUAUUAAAGUUCCAACGGUGAAAGAUGAGCAUGCGUCCCAUUAGCUAGAUGGUAAGGUAACGGCUUACCAUGGCUACGAUGGGUAGGGGUCCUGAGAGGAGAUCCCCACACUGGUACUGAGACACGGACCAGACUCCUACGGGAGGCAGC
rnacentral:rRNA from 1 species